rnacentral:rRNA from 1 species
CGGGAGUAAUGCUUGGGAAUCUAGCUUAUGGAGGGGGAUAACUACGGGAAACUGUAGCUAAUACCGCGUAGAAUCGAGAGAUGAAAGUGUGGGACCUUCGGGCCACAUGCCAUAGGAUGAGCCCAAGUGGGAUUAGGUAGUUGGUGAGGUAAAGGCUCACCAAGCCGACGAUCUCUAGCUGGUCUGAGAGGAUGACCAGCCACACUGGGACUGAGACACGGCCCAG